UUUAGUCUUUGAUCAUUUUAUUUUAGUAAACUCUGAAAUGACAGUGAAAUGUAGGGGUAAGAUAGGGGUAAGAUUGGGUAAGAUAGGGGUAAGAUAGGGGUAAGAUUGGGGUAAGAUUGGGUAAGAUAGGGGUAAGAUUGGGGUAAGAUAGGGGUAAGAUAGGGGUAAGAUUGGGGUAAGAUUGGGUAAGAUAGGGGUAAGAUAGGGGUAAGAUUGGGGUAAGAUUGGGUAAGAUAGGGGUAAGAUAGGGGUAAGAUUGGGGUAAGAUAGGGGUAAGAUUGGGUAAGAUAGGGGUAAGAUAGGGGUAAGAUUGGGUAAGAUAGGGGUAAGAUAGAAGUAAGAUAGUUGGACAGAGUAUGCGCAAAAAAAUAAAUAUAUGAAAAAACGGGAACGUAAGCUCUAGAUAGGAUAGUGGAUCCAUUUCAUAAAUGAUAUAAGUUAACAUAGAUGGCAUGUGUACUAGUGAGAUGGGGAAAGUCCAAACUUUAUUCUUUUAGAUUUUUAAAUCUCAGGGUAGCUUUAUUCCACUUUCACUCCAUAAUUCCAAGUUCU
rnacentral:lncRNA from 1 species